rnacentral:rRNA from 1 species
AGCGAACGUUUGCGGCGGGCUUAACACAUGCAAGUCGAACGAGAAUCCCUUCGGGGAGGAAAGUGGCGCACGGGUGCGUAACACGUGGAUAACCAACCCAUUGGUUUGGGACAACACCGGGAAACUGGUGCUAAUACCAGAUGUGUCGCAGCUGUCUUCAGGCGGUUGCGAGAAAGGCCCGCAAGGGUCGCCAACGGGACGGGUCCGCGUCCCAUCAGCUAGUUGGUGAGGUAAUGGCUCACCAAGGCAAAGACGGGUAGCUGGUCUGAGAGGAUGAUCAGCCACACUGGAACUGAGACACGGUCCAGACUCCUACGGGAGGCAGCAGUGGGGAAUAUUGCGCAAUGGGCGAAAGCCUGACGCAGCCACGCCGCGUGAGCGAUGAAGGUCUUCGGAUCGUAAAGCUCUGUGGGGGGAGAAGAAGAAAGCCGGUGAAGAGCCGGCCUGACGGUAUCCCCUUAGCAAGCACCGGCUAACUCCGUGCCAGCAGCCG